AUAAAACAAAAAAAUAAAAUAAAAUAAAAAACAAAACUUAAAUUAAUUUUACCAUAAUAAUAAUAAUGACCGCGUACAUAAUAAAUAUCAUAUAGGUAAGUAAUUUAUUGUGUAUCGACAAUCUUACACAUUUUCGGCAAAACAUUUUCGUUUACAUUUGUAGUCGAAAUUCAUCAUCACGCAAAAGGGUUGAAAAAAUUUAAAAAAAAAACAGCUGUAUAAUGAGACUAGUCUAAAAAAAAAAAAAGUAAUUUGUAACACACGCAUAUGUUAUAUAUUUUAUAAUCUUAUUAUUAAAUUUUUUUUUUUUUUACGUUGAUUUACAAAACGUAAAAGUUUACAAACACCGAAAAAACAACACCCACACGAUAAUUUUUUUUUUAUUAUUAUUACAAUAAACCUACUUAUAUGAUUAAUUAUGGGUAAUUUUUUUUUAUGUAUCAUGAUUAUUCCGUUUUGGCUUUGUUGAUCGUUUUUUUUUAUUUUUUUAUUUUUUUUAUUUUUUUUUUUUUUAAUAUUAUUAUUAUAUAUUAAAGAAAUAUUAUUUUUAUUUUAUGUCCCUGAAUUUUUCUUUUUGUUCAUAAAAUCACAGUAAAAAACAAGUGUGCGACUUAAUGCGCUUGGUUAAAAUUUUUAAAACUUAACACUGUUUCAUUUUACAAACAUAUGGAAAACAAUAACAAAAACAAAAAAAAAAAAUACUCCUUGCAAUGUUUGUCUAUGCGUGAAUGAAUAAAAUAUUUUGUGUCAGGACCGUUUCCCUCCAAAAAUGGGAUACCGUUUUCUUAUACCCUCCUCAUUUUUAUCUUCCUCCUUAAAAAAAGUCAUACUUUUUAUUUUGUUUGGAAAGAUUUCUUUGAACUUUUAGCAUUUGUUUUUUCCAUAUUUUCCUGUUGUCUGCCAUAUUCUUGAGCUCUUCGUAAGAAAUAAUUCCCGCACCAUCCUUCAUUAAUUAUUUGAUGAUAUACUUCGUUCCUUGUAACUCAUACCUUGGUCUUUCUCUUGAUUGUGAUCCUUCCUUUAAUUAAUGAGCUGUGUUACCAUUUAUUUCUAUAUCUCAGUGCGUGUCUUAAUAUCAUUUGCCAUUCUCUAUAUUCUUUUGAGUAUCUAAUAAUAUCCGUUUCUCUUCUAUUGUCUUAUAAAAUCGUGUUUAUUUUUUGUUUACAUACUUACAAAAAGUCCUAAUUUUAACCAACUGCCUUAUUAACUGUUACGUAAACCGAAUCAAAAAUUAAUCUUAAAGAACCCGAUCAAAAUUCUAUGGAAUCUAAUCAAUUAAACAUCACAAAAUAAAACGUAUUAUAUCGUUUACAAUUAUUUUUGAAAAUGUGAAUCUAUUUGAUUUUUCAACUUAUUAACUACAGAUAUUUUAAUGUAUAUUCCUCAUUCAAAUAUGAACAAAACAUGUGAAUUAUACAGGUGUACAAAUAUUAAUAUUAUUUUUUUUUUGGGGAGGGGGGUUUGGAGGAAAACGGUAUCUAUCUAGUUUCUAGAGGAAAACAGCUACAGCUUUUUUUUAAAUUCAUAAAUAAAAUAAAAAUCGGCAUGUUUAUAUAAAAUUAAAGAAAAUGAAAAUUUAUUUUUGGAAUUUGGCUAGUCAUUUGUGUUUUUAUUAAUAAUAAAUAAUAUAGGUACGGAACUCAUAAGUAAUAAUAAUUUUGAUAAUCUUAUACAAAUAAUUAUAAUUAUAAUAUUAUAAUGUUAUAAUAAUAUAUUUUUAGUAUGGAAAUUAUAAAUUUAAUCAGGUAACAUAGCACAAUUCAUGUUUUUUUUGUUUUUACAAAAAAACAUUCGAUUUUGUUAAAAUUUCAAAAAUAAAAACACUUAAUAAGGCGUUCGUUAUAAUAAAUAUCAUAUGGUAUAAGUACUUAUAAAAAUUUAAUUGUUUAAAGUUUAUCGUUCAUAUGGUAUAUUAUAUAAUAAUAUUAUUAUAAGAAGAGAUGACAUAAAUGAUAAUAUUAUUUUAUUGUAUGUAUUUGUCAUUUUACGACAAAAAUAAUGAGUUUCUAACAGUUUAUGUAUACUUUGUUUCUUAUUUUUUUUUUUUGUAUUGAAGUUAUUAUGGACUCGGUGGGGUGGCUAGCACGAUUUUUUUGAAGUCAAAAUUCAUUCGAAAUUAGCAACGGGGUAGUGGGCUAUUCAGAGCUUGUAGCAAUAUAACCAUAAUAAAUACAGCAGAUAUUUAUGUGUUAAUGUUUUUAUACAUUUAUUGGUUGGUAAAAAAAAAAUAAUAAUAAUAACUUGUUUCUACCAAAAUAUAUUUCAUGAACUAACGAUUCUACAAGUAUUUAAAAUUUUAUCUUUCAUUAUAUUUUAAAAUUUUGAACGUUUUUAGAGAAUAUAAUUUUAAGGAUAUUUUAAAUUCAACAAAUUGCGAAUAUUACAAAAUAAUCGUUUCAGAUUUUUGGAGUAAAAAUUUCAAAUACGAAUCGUUUCAAAGAGUACACAUUUCUUUUUUUUGUUGUGGAACAUAUUUUAAUAGCAUAACUGCAUUCCUGUUAAAUAUAACUUUUUAGGUAAUAUAAAUAUCUGCCCUACUAUAUUAACACUGUAUUAUUCAUUAAAGAGAGUUGGUUAAUGGUAUUGGAUAUUUAAGAAAAUGUUUGAGCUCCGUUCGAAAAUUAAGUUUUAUAUUUUGUCAGUGGCAUACUUUCGGGAGGGAGGGAUAAGUCCUCUUCUAGAACAUGGUUGUAUAUAGGUUUUAACUUUGGUUUCUGAAACCACUUAUUGUGUGUCCGUUAUAUAUUAAUGUAUCAUUUAAAUCCCUAAAUCCAAUAAAAUUAGUAUUAUAGAUCUGAAUAAGUAUUUAAUUUAUAGAGUGUGUGUCAUUCGUGGUUAAAAACUAAAGGCAGAUAAUGAAAAAAUCAAGGGUGUGCAUUAACGAGUUAAUAAUUUCUGAAUUAAUUUAUUUUUAAUUAUUAACUCAGCUUUUAACAUUUGAUUUUUUUUAUUUUUAUUAACUUGUCUUAUUAUUUUUUUCACUUCAAAUAAAUAAAGAGUUAAUCUUGAAUUAAAAAGUAUCUACCAUGUUAGGCAAAUUUUAAUUUUAACACAGUAUUU